GUGAGUAUGCAUACCUCACAGGCGUGACACCUAUUACAAUGUGAAGUUCCCCGUUUCCGCCAGCCACCUACUCCUCCGGGCUGGGAGCUGGCCAUUCUCCGUACAGCCCAGAGUUGGCCAGUGUUUGUCCAAUUCCCUUGUGACAUGAAUUGGCCCACUGACACUUUAUUUCAGUGAUAAUGUAUGCUGGUGUGGUAGCAGAACUUCACCUGCAAUAGAUCACGCCUACCUCUAUACUUUCCUAAUGCAGUCCAGCGGUAUAUAUAGUCAACUGACCGGAUGUUGGCCUCACUCAUGGUGUUCACAUAUGUUUUGGAGGCAUUUCCAUGUGUGACACAAUCUCCCAGGGAAACCUGACCACCCCACGGUGGUUUGACAUUUCUAUUUGCUUUAGUUUUCGUGUGAGCGGCUGGAUUAGUUUAGUCUGAGGCUGCCCCUUGGAAUUGUGGGUAAUGCGUAUCUAAUCUUCUGUAUAUGUCUAUGGUCAGCUUGUCUGGUAGCAUCUCUGGCUGCUGUUGACCUUGUUUUUGGAGUAAGACACGGUGGAAGCUGAAUUAGUGAGGAUGACUCCUGCUCCUGCCAUCUCUAAGCUCCUCACACAUCUUUACCUGCACGUGAGGAAAAUCCCUCCUGUAGAAUGCAGAUGUUCAGAGGGAGAUGAUGCCACAUCUGGUCCAGCCGAUGGAAGGUCUUGAAGUUCUCUGAAGACGGUCCUCAGACUGGAUUUAAGGUUCAGAUGCUCAGGAACAAACUCCACCAAUGAGCCAACAGGGUAGCUUUAGGUUUAUUAAAUGUUGCU